GUGCUCUCUUUGGUAGCACACGUACUAAAAUUGGAACAAAUCCAAGAAGAUUAGCACGGCCCCUGAGCAAGGAUGACAGGCAAAUUCUUGAAGUGGUCCAUAUAAAA